CGCCAGACUCCUACGGGAGGCAGCAGUGGGGAAUAUUGCACAAUGGGGGGAACCCUGAUGCAGCGACGCCGCGUGAAGGAAGAAGUAUUUCGGUAUGUAAACUUCUAUCAGCAGGGAAGAAAAUGACGGUACCUGACUAAGAAGCCCCGGCUAACUACGUGCCAGCAGCCGCGGUAAUACGUAGGGGGCAAGCGUUAUCCGGAUUUACUGGGUGUAAAGGGAGCGUAGGCGGUUUAGCAAGUCAGAAGUGAAAGCCCGGGGCUCAACCCCGGGACUGCUCUGGAAACUGCGUCGCUGGAGUACGGGAGGGGCAGGCGGAAUUCCUGGUGUAGCGGUGAAAUGCGUAGAUAUCAGGAGGAACACCGGCGGCGAAGGCGGCCUGCUGGACCGUGACUGACGUUGAGGCUCGAGAGCGUGGGGAGCAAACAGGAUUAGAUACCCCCGUA
rnacentral:rRNA from 1 species